CCAGGCAGAUGUGCGGCUCAGUGCCGGAGCCUGCGAUGCCCGCUCCGCGCGGUUAGAUUCCCGCUUCGUUCCGCUGUGUUCGACGAUAAUACUGGGUCGAUACACCGAACACAGAGCCGUUCGCCGGCCCGCUGCAGCCACAGGAGCCGCCUCACCCCGUCAACCGACAAGGUGUGUUGCUGCAGCAACGGCUGACAGAUGAUGCUCUUGUGAGAGUGGGUGGGGCUACGUGGCCCUGAGGCCUUAAGGAGGAGUCUCAGCCCUAAGCUCCUCCCCUCUCUCGUCCCGAGACAGACCAAACGGACGGACACACAGACGGCCGUAACUCUCCCCUCCCUCCUCCUCCUUCCCCCCUCUCUCCCCUGUUCUCCCCUCCACCUGGCCCCUCCUCCUCCUCCCGGCCACCCUCCCCUGUCUCCCCCCUCGUCCCCUGCCACCAUGCUGUGGUCACGCUGCUGGUGGAGAGCCUGAGGAAGCAGACUCUGGAAGGCGACCCUGCUCAGCCAGGGGACUUGUACCUGUCCCUGCUGGACCCGAAAACCCUCGCAGAGUGCUGGCCCCCAGAUGGCUUGAUGC
ensembl:lncRNA